rnacentral:rRNA from 1 species
UGUAUGAUUAUUAAUAUAAAGUCUGGCCUGCCCACUGAAGUAUUUUUAAAGGGCCGCGGUAAUUUGACCGUGCGAAGGUAGCAUAAUCAGUAGUCUUUUAAUUGGAGGCUGGAAUGAAUGGUCGGACAAAGAGUCAGCUGUCUUUAUACAUGGUUUGAAUUUUACUUUUAAGUGAAAAGGCUUAAAUAUUUUAGGGGGACGAUAAGACCCUAUAAAACUUUACAGGUAAAUCUGUGCUUCUUAAAUUAAAGUUUAACAUUGGUCAUCGUCUUGCCUGUUGUGUUGGGGCGACAAAGAUAUAAUUUAAAUAACUGUCAAUUUUAUUAAAUAGCGAUAAUUAGAUUAGUUGAUCCUUUAUUAGAGAUUAUAAGAUUAAGUUACUUUAGGGAUAACAGCGUAAUUUUUUCUGAGAGUCCAUAUCGACGAAAAUAGUUGCGACCUCGAUGUUGAAUUAAGAUUCCCCUUAGGUGAAGCAGUUUAAGUGGUAGGUCUGUUCGACCUUUAAAAUCUU